GCUCAGCACUUCUGCAAAUCAUACUGCAGUGUAUCAGUGUAUCAGACACCCAUAAAAUAAGGAACACAUGAGUGACCAGCUGUGAAAAGUCUGGUGUAACUAACAUAGGAGCUCUGUGACAGAGAUAUUGUUAGAAUCCAGUUCUCUAGGAGCGCAUUUAACUGCCUUAACCACGAGACUAUUAUCUCUCUUCUUGCUAACCACUGCCUCAUUUACUACACACCUUCCAACUUCCCCAGCAAAUGGGAAUUUUAGCUGACAGUAGUGCUUAUGAAAGAAAGAAGCUCAGUUCAUUGAAAAGCUUGGGGACUGAAGUCCUCCAUCUACACACCAGCACUAAAAGGGAAGUUGCUACCACUGUGUACUGUUUUGUAGACAGCCUUCUUAGAGCCAGAACUGUACAAGCCUCAGGGUUAUAUACACUGAAAAGAAGUUUGCUAACAGAGUUGAACAAAUAGAGUAAACAAAUUGCAUUGAUAUUCAUUUGAAUUUUCAAGCUAAUUUUUAUGCCUAUAUGCUUUGAAUAUAUUUGUACUCUUAUGUUUCCUUCAUGUGAAUAUUCUGUGGAAUGAAUUUAGCGGCAGGAAUGUUAGUAGAAACAGCAACAUUUUAAAAGAUUACUAGAGAAUACUUAUGGAAAGUGAUUUUGGAAUUCUGAAACAUGGAAUUGGCAUGGAAACCUAUUCCUAGGAAAUACAUUUAUCCAAUCAGGCAGCAGAAACAUAUCACGUGACCUGUGUGUCCAAUCAAUACUAAUCCACACAGCUCAAAUUUCUUAUGUUGAACGCUUUCUGGGAAUUGCUCUUGAAUUAUUUGCUUAAAUUAUUUGGAGAAUAAUUUUCAAUAAUGUAUAAUUCGAGGGAAAAAAACUAUCAGCUCUUUGCUGAUAAUUCACAAACAGAAAGGGAGGCAGAAUUAAUUAAACAAUAUAUUCAUUUUGAAGGAUUCACCCAGCUCGGUGUCUAAUACAAUAUCUUUAUGCAAAGUAUACACAGUACAUAGUUUUCUGAAAUGUAUUAGAGUAUCAAUCUUUUGUAGCUAAUUUGCAACAGAAUCAUUUUGAUUCAGAAAAGUUUGAACUAAAACCACCUUGCUUUUUAUACACAUGCCUACUAUUUUCCUCAGAAAAGUAGCAGGGCUCAGGUAGCUGUCCUUUUGUAUGCUUAGCACAUUGUGUUUUGCUGUACCAUAUAGUCCUAGAAAUUAUUAUUGCCCCAUAUAAGUAUAAACAAUGAAAUCUGACAAAGCCACCCAACAUUUACUAAACCAGGCAAAACUGUCAAAAUGUGUGUAUUGAUGUCAAACUUUCAAUGCAAUGUUUGUAAAAAAAGACUUUUUUGUCUUUUGAAAAAAGUUGAAAAUGUUUUUAU